rfam:Danio rerio chromosome 8, GRCz11 reference primary assembly.
GUGGUCUUUAUGAAGGCAGGUGCAGAAACUAUGCACUAGUGGUGCCUGUCUGAUGUUUGGCCAU